rnacentral:rRNA from 1 species
GACAGAGGUGCCGAGCGUUAGGCGGAAUCACUGGGCUUAAAGCGUGUGUAGGCGGACCGUUAAGUACCUUGUGAAAUCCCCCGGCUCAACCGGGGAACGGCUGGGUAUACUGGCGAUCUUGAGCCAUCCAGGGGCAGUCGGAACAGGACGGUGGAGCGGUGAAAUGCGUAGAUAUCGUCUGGAACGCCGAAGGUGAAAACAGAACUGCUGGGGAUGAGCUGACGCUGAGACACGAAAGCCAGGGGAG